rnacentral:lncRNA from 1 species
UGUGACCAGCCUGCUGUCUGUGGUGUGCCCUCCUGGCCCGGCCUUGGCACAUGUUCGUUUUUGUGGUUGUUGCCUGGACAGGCAACUCUGCAGGGCUGCUUCUCUACGCAUCCCUUUGCCUGCCUGCCUGUGCCAGGGGUUGUCAAGGGCUUUUGGGUCAGAGUGGGCACCCCUUUCUCCAAGGCUCCCUGCAACAGCUGGCCUGUCCCUGGUGGGGCUGACAGCUUCCUUCUCACCCUGCCAGGCUGCCCAAGCGCCAGAGGUGACCUAUGAGGCAGAAGAGGGCUCCUUGUGGACGUUGCUACUCACUAGCUUGGAUGGGCACCUGCUGGAGCCAGAUGCUGAGUACCUCCACUGGCUGCUGUGAGUACUGGAGUACUGGGGGUAGGGGGUGCUGCCCAGGCGGGAAGAGGAGCUGGGAGCCUGGACUGAGCUGCUCCUGAGUUUCAUGGACUACCCAUGGGACCUUGAAUUCACCUGCCACCUCUGCCUCCUGAGGGUGUUAGGGGCCCUGGGAUCCACGUGUCUACUUGAAGACAGCUACAGGAGA